CAGAGUAAGAGAAUACGCGUUAAGUGUCUGCCGAACGGGGAGUUGACGGCAGGACGAAGGACAGGCGCGCCUGUGUUUAUUCUAUCAUACUAAGUCCAUGACAGAAAAGACGCUCGCGUCCCCGCGGUGUAUUCUUUGCAUCCCGCUGU
rnacentral:ncRNA from 1 species